rfam:Stegodyphus mimosarum contig117581, whole genome shotgun sequence.
GCCUUCGUGGUGUAAUGGUCAGCACACUGAGCCGGUAUUUCAGAGGUCCGUGGUUCAAUUCCCGGUGAAGGAA